CCUCUACACACUGCUUUGAAUGUGUCCCAGAGAUUCUGCAUGGUUUCCUGUUAUGAGUUGUCCUGAAAUCCCCACAGGAGCAUGGAAGGACAUCCUAGGCUGUCCUAGCCACUUCCUUUAACCAGGCCCAGAUUGCUUCCACCAGGAAUGCUGAACCUGCAAUUGUUUGAAGAUACCAAUAUUAAGUCAGACGUGAAACUCCCUUUUGAUGCCUAUCACUAUGCUCUGACUCGCUGCACAACUUAACCUCUUGGUGACUCCAGUUCCUUGUUUGCAAGUGGAGAUGAACAGGUCUGCUGUGAGGAUUGAAUAGAAUAAUACAUGUAAAAGAUGCGUUAUUUGCUUGAUACCCAGCCUGGUACACAUGAAGGAUUACUAAAUAGUUUACAUGAACAUUAUUACUACCUAAUUGUUUUUAAUUCAGGAAAAUGUAGAAGCUACAACAUCAGAAUAUGCUUCUGUAGUAGUACUUUUGCCUCUAGUUCAGUACCCUGUCAACCACCACAUGAAGUGGUGUAACAAGACAUAAUUGAAACACUAUUGUAAUGAAAGGAACACUAGACAUGCAGUCAGAAAUCUGGGCUCAAUUUCUGAAAUGCAUGUAGCAUUUACCAUAUGCCAGGUACUGCUGUUAAGUAUUUAACAUACAUUAACCUAAGCUGUCAUAACAAUCCAGUAAGGUAGGUGCUGUUAUUACCCUCAUUUUCUGAUGAGGACACUGAUACAAAAGAAGUUAAGUAACUUGCUCCAAAUUAUACAUAUUUGGCAAGCUAUGGAGCCAGAAUUUGAACCCAGACAGGCAGCUUCCAGUCCAUGCUUCAUAGCCUUUGGACUCUGUGAGCUUCAGUUUUCCCAACGGCACAAUGAGAAUAAUAAUCUUACAGUCAUCUCACAGAGUCCUUGCAAGAAUUUAAUAUGAUGGUAAAUCUAAACUGCCCUGGAACUGAAAAAGACUGUACAAAUAUAAAGGAUUAUUGUUAUUAAGAUUCUUAACCAAAAUGCAUCACUAUCUGUAUAAACAAUGAGACAGGGUAUAGCUGAAGUAAUACCACUAAAGAUGUGAUGUUAUAAGCAUUCCAAGUGCCAAGUGCCAACAAAAAUAUUUUUCCCAGUGAACCUCAAUAUCUCAAUGUUAUUACCUGAAAGAGAAAUUGAAAUUAUUUAUCAUUUUUUGAAGGUACUAUUUGAACACUUAAAAUUGUUUACUCUCUAACUUUUAGAGUUAAUAUUUUUUCAGAAUGUCAAAGAAGCUCUUCUUACAUGUUCAGAAGUGACUGUAGCAGGGCAUGUUUAAAUGGGCAUGUAAAUGUGAAGUCCUGUCCUAUGAAUGGUAAACUCACAGAGUGAAUUCAUUUUGCCUUUUGGGUCAGUGUAAUUACCUAUUGAUUUUUAGGAAAGAAAGAAAAACUGACAUUCACAACCUUUGCUCUUUAAUUUCUGAACAGAAUUACGGCCUAAAUGGAAGAAUGAUGUUGUUUAUCUGUUAGCACCUUUCAGAGACAAGGCCAAUACUUCAAAUUACUUGUGCAUAAUUGGUGCUCAGUAAACAUUUUUGGGUUAAAAGCUUAACCCCAUACAGAUAGUUCCUGCUCCAUUAGACAGAUUCAUAUCACAUUCCUAAUCAAGCCUCUGAUAGGCAAUAUGCAAAAAAAUAGCAACUGUAAACCUUUAUAUCAUUCAAAGUUAUAAAAUUAUAGUCUAAGACAUCAGUGGACAUCAGCAUGCAGCAGUUUUUAAAAUUAUGUAAGUCUCAAUGUGCUGUGAAGUAUUAAAAACUAUUACCUCAACUGGGCUUGAAAUUGCUUCCAGCUAAACAAUGAAUAUUAAAUUAAAUAAUAAUGGUUUUUUUGCCUCUUAGAAUUUAUAAAUGCACUGGACUUUGCUUUGGGUAGACCACUUUUUUUUAAAG